CUUACCAUCUUGAAUAUUUUUUAGAUACAGCAGAUGCUUCUCCAAUCAUUGAUGGGCCAUCCGUCUCUCAUACCCAGUCACUCCAAAACUUAAACCAAGAUAAUUCUUCUGAUGCCGAAAAUGAUGAAACUACAGUUGAUGUCCACUCCUUAGGAACCAAAAAAUUGUCUUCUACCUUUAUGUGGUACAUUGUGAAAUUAGCGCAGAAGCCUGAAGCUGUCGUUGUCCCAGGAUUUUGGCUAAACUUUGAUCGAAAAGAGUGUGCUUGGCCUCAAACUAAUACGGAAUAUGUGAUUCAGAAUAACAUUGUUAAUAGGGUGAAGCCUUUAAAAAACUGGGUCACGCGAGGAGUAACCGACAUACUAGGAUUUGCAGCCUUUAUGAAGCAACAACGAGCGUGGGGAAAAGAAAAUAGAGGGAUUAAACGCACAGCUGGUCAAACAAACCUGAACGCCAAUGGUAAAAGGAAAAAUUAAUAAAAAACAGCACCAAAAAUUGUCACUGAAGAACAUAUAAAUCUCGAUGUAGAUCCAUCAAACGCGCAGAACUUUUUGAAACCACGCCCCUGUCAGCGACUGGCGCUAACAGAAAUAAAAAGUCUGAAAGGAGAAGAUAAAAUAGUAUAUGUAGCUGAAAUGUUGCACGAAGUUUUGCGCAAUCAAGCCGAAGAAAGGCUUCAAAAUGAAAGGCGACAGGUAAUGAUACCUACUUCCAGUAACGAUUCGAUUUGCUGUUCUGAAUCGUCUGCGACUCGAUCUCGUUUCCCGAUUGAUUCUUUAAAAGAUUUCAUUAAGUACAACGAUGAUCUUCGUGAUGGAAAUUACGUCAUGCAAGUGGCGA